GACGAACGCUGGCGGCGUGCUUAACACAUGCAAGUCGAACGGAAAGGCCCUUCGGGGUACUCGAGUGGCGAACGGGUGAGUAACACGUGGGUGAUCUGCCCUGCACUUUGGGAUAAGCCUGGGAAACUGGGUCUAAUACCGAAUAGGACCACGCGCUUCAUGGUGUGUGGUGGAAAGCUUUUGCGGUGUGGGAUGGGCCCGCGGCCUAUCAGCUUGUUGGUGGGGUAAUGGCCUACCAAAGCGACGCCGGGUAGCCGACCUGAGAGGGUAACCGGCCACACUGGGACUGAGAUACGGCACAGACUACUACGGGAGGGAGCGGUGGAGAAUAGUACACAAUGGGCGCAAGGAUGAUGCGGCGACGCCGCGUGAGGGAUAACAGCCAUGGGGUUGUAAACCUCAUUCAUUUGGGACGAAGCGCAAGUGACGGUACCUAUAGAAGAAGCACCGGCCAACUACGUG
rnacentral:rRNA from 1 species